AUUGUACUCCCUCCGUCCCAAAAUUCUUGUCUUAAAUUUGUUUAAAUAUGGAUGUAUCAAGUCAUGUUUUAGUAUUAGAUACAUCCGUAUCUAGACAAAUCUAAGACAAGAAUUUUGGGACGGAGGGAGUAUCAU
rnacentral:pre_miRNA from 1 species